rnacentral:pre_miRNA from 1 species
UGUUAGGUUGGUGCAAGAGUAAUUGCUGUUUUUGCCAUUGAAAGUAAUGGCAAAAACUUCAGUUACUUUUGCACCAACCUAAUA